rnacentral:lncRNA from 12 species
AUGCAAACACUGACUGAGUCUGUGCUCUGGGCCUUUCCCGUGGGCGGGGGCCUUCCACAGGGACAGCACGACGACAGCGCUCACAGCGGGCAUGGGGAGCGGCCCGCAGGCCCGGCGGGGGAGCCACAUGGGGCCGCGUGGUGGGUCCUGCUGGGGGGCGGCCAGCCUGGCGGUGCUCAGGUGAUCCCAUCACACCUGCCACUGCGACUCCGGGUUCAGGCUUCCCACCCGCUGCUCAGUACCGGGGAGUCCACGGGAGCCACGUCCCACCGGCACCCGGCGCUCCUGUGCCUGGGCCCCGACCAAGGCCAGCGUGCCCUGGGCAGCCCUUCCUGGGCCUCCUGCCGCCCGCCAGCCCCCCACCUGCCCCAGCACACCUGGAGCUGCCCCGCCUCAGCGUCGCCCCCCAGCAUCUCUGUGCCUUCUGGGCCGUCGCUGCACCUCCCGACCCGGCUCUCCGGGAGCCUCCGCCCCCGCUCUCCCAGCUUCCCCGCGGGGCUCCAGCCGCAGCAGGUAAUUGCUGGAGGAUUUUUGCCACACACAGGCUCUUGUUUGUACGGAGUGUGGGAUGCCACAGGGUAAACUGAGGACUUGUGGCUUCUGGCCAGACAUGUCAGUCCGUCCUGCCUCUGCCCCUGAGACCAUCAGAGCUGAGAGAGGAGGAGCAAGCAAGCUCCCACCACCACGAAGCCCACGAGUUGCACCUUGUGUCUCCUGACACCUAUUUUGCAGGUGUCAAACCUGAGGUUCAGAAAAGGGCAAGGCUGCAGAUUUAGAACUGAGUCUCACUGGAAGGACAAGACUCCCUAACAGUAGGACAAAAACCCGAUUACCUCCUUCAAGACUUAGACCUUCCCGCAGGGUUCUUUUCUGUAGGAGUGAAAGGAGUGGGUCUGCAGUCCGCCCAGAGGUGGUUAGCCAUCAGGAUCACGCUUGCAGAACGGAGUUAGAUGGAGUAUUGCGCACACCCUUGGUGAUGCAGAUUAAUUAAAUGGUAAAAUUUUUAUGGUUACCUUCGAUUUGUGGCAGGGGACAUGGCUUUCCAUAUAUAAUAAUGAUGUAAAAUUUAGUUUUAAAAACACUUAAGUAAAAGUGAAUCAAUUUAAGGGCAAGUCUGAAAAUAAUGAGGCUUGACUGUAGAGAAACAAUGACUUAAGGGGUGUUGGAAAGGUACUCCUGGCCCUGAAUUAUCUCCUCUCCAAGCCCAUGGCAAUUCGUGAACUUCAGAUAAGGCGUUGCCUAUUCUAGGAAACCUCUGCAGGCUGCCAGAGCUAGCAAGCAUUUUAGGGACCGCCCGGUCCAACCCGUCCUGUCGGGGAGGAGGAAAUGGAAGCCAGAGUCAAAGUCAUAGAAGGGGAGUCAUCACACGCCUUCUCAGAAGGAGCCUUGUUCUGACUCACCUUCCCUCUCAGAUCCAUGGGAUACAGGGCUGGGCCAGCAGCCCAGAUGCUUGUCCCCACCAGCCAGGUGGAGAAGUUCUGAGUGAGGUUUUAAGAACAGUGGACUGUAGGAUGACCUAAGGAGCUUUGGAAAAAUAUGGAUGUGUGGGCGCCAUGGCCAGAGAUUCUGAUUGGGUGGUUUGACAUAGGCAGCAUUCACGGAAACCGCUCUUUAAAAAUCUCCCCAGCUGCCCACCCUAGACUGGAGACCCAGGACCCCACAAGAGAUGGUUGGGCAGUACAGUACUUGGGUUACCCCAUCCUUCUUCCGAAUUUUCUAGUCUCUCCAAUAUCUAAUGGAGUGAGAGAGAGAAAAGAAAUGAACAGGGAUAUGGUGGGCUUUGGACCUGUGCAGAUCUGGCUUGGACUUCUGGCCACACCACUAAUAUUUACAAGAUGUGCUACCCAGAAAGUGUUUCUUAAGUUUGAGACUCCGUGACCUCAUAGGUAAAAUGGUGACAAUAUCAAUCAGUACCUCUCAAUACGCUGUAGUGAGUUUUAAAUGAGAUAAUCCACGUAAAGGGUUUAGCAUGACGCCGGGCAUAUGUCGAGCACUCAAUGAGUGCUAAUUCCUAGCAUCAUCAUCUUUAACGCUACAGCCAGAAGCCAGAAUGAUCCUGUCGUUAAGAGAAGCUAGGGACAGAAGUUGGAACAUUCUUCGGGGCAGAGAAGGAGUUCAUUAAAUGGCUCAGAAUGAAGAUGGGCAGGAGCUAAGGAAGAGUGAGACUUAAUUCCCUAGCAGACCCAGGGGAAGGGGUCUCUUUUGGAGAUUUGCAUUGGCUUUAGUUGAUUGCAAUUACGCUGUCCUUCGUCGUGCUGAAAAUAAAAUGAAACCCUAACA